rnacentral:lncRNA from 1 species
CCUGUUUUUUUCGAUCGGAGCCGUAGACACCGUUUUGAUUCUCGCCGUGAUUGCCCGCCGGUGGGGUCACCGGAGAUCGAGGUGAGUCUUCCUCUUCUUCCUCUCUUCCUUUCCUUCCUCCCGUGCAUUUGUGCGCGGCUGCCGGCGACGGGAGUCGCCGAUUUUUGGUCGGAAAAGAGACCUCUGUUUCAGUCUCUUUU